UUCGUAUAAUGCUUUUUCAAUCUUAUGAUAUCCUGACCAUUCUUUUUCCUUUUUCUCUUCUUUCAUAUCUGCAAGACGUGCAUCAAUUUUAGGAUCU
rnacentral:sRNA from 1 species